UACGGAGGAUGCAAGCGUUAUCCGGAAUGAUUGGGCAUAAAGCGUCCGCAGGUGGCUGUGUAAGUCUGCUGUCAAAGAGCAAAGCUCAACUUUGUAAAGGCAGUGGAAACUACACGGCUAGAGUGCGUUCGGGGCAGAGGGAAUUCCUGGUGUAGCGGUGAAAUGCGUAGAGAUCAGGAAGAACACCGGUGGCGAAGGCGCUCUGCUAGGCCGCAACUGACACUGAGGGACGAAAGCUAGGGGAGCGAAUGGG
rnacentral:rRNA from 1 species